rnacentral:rRNA from 1 species
CAGCCGCCGCGGGAAUACGUAGGUGGCAAGCGUUGCCCGGAAUUAUUGGGCGUAAAGGGCUCGCAGGCGGUUUCUUAAGUCUGAUGUGAAAGCCCCCGGCUCAACCGGGGAGGGUCAUUGGAAACUGGGAAACUUGAGUGCAGAAGAGGAGAGUGGAAUUCCACGUGUAGCGGUGAAAUGCGCAGAGAUGUGGAGGAACACCAGUGGCGAAGGCGACUCUCUGGUCUGUAACUGACGCUGAGGAGCGAAAGCGUGGGGAGCGAACAGGAUUAGAUACCCCCGUAGUCCCUGUCUCUUAUAC